rnacentral:rRNA from 1 species
UACAGAGGUCCCAAGCGUUGCUCGGAAUCACUGGGCGUAAAGCGCACGUAGGCGGAUUGUUAAGUCAGGGGUGAAAUCCUGGAGCUCAACUCCAGAACUGCCUUUGAUACUGGCGAUCUUGAGUCCGGGAGAGGUGAGUGGAACUGCGAGUGUGGAGGUGAAAUUCGUAGAUAUUCGCAAGAACACCAGUGGCGAAGGCGGCUCACUGGCCCGGUACUGACGCUGAGGUGCGAAAGCGUGGGGAGCAAACAGG